rnacentral:misc_RNA from 1 species
AACUUUCAGCAACGGAUCACUUGGCUCUCGCAUCGAUGAAGAACGCAGCGAAAUGCGAUAAGUAAUGUGAAUUGCAGAAUUCAGUGAUCAUCGAAUCUUUGAACGCACCUUGCGCCCCUUGGCUAUUCCGAGGGGCAUGCCUGUUUGAGUAUCAUGAACACCUCAACUCUCAUGGUCCGCCAUGAUGAGCUUGGACUUUGGGGGUUUUGCUGGCCUGCAGUCGGCUCCUCUCAAACAAAUCAGCUUACCAGUGUUUGGUGGCAUCACGGGUGUGAUAAAUAUCUACGCUUGUGGUCGCCUGCCGGGUAACCUUCAGCGAUGGAGGUUUGCUGGGGCUUACAAACGUCUCUCCUCAGAGGAGACAGCUUCUUGAACGUUCGAUCUCAAAUCAGGUAGGACUACCCGCUGAACUUAAGCAUAUCAAUAAGCGGAGGCU